AGUGCGCAGAGGACGCGGCGGGAGCAUGUACCGGCUCCUGAGCUGGAGCCUGGGCCGAGGCUUCCUGCGGGCCGCGGGGCGGCGGUGCCGGGGCUGCUCCGCGCGCCUGCUCCCGGGGCUGGCAGGAGGUCCGGGGCCCGAGGUGCAGGUGCCGCCAUCCCGAGUCGCGCCGCACGGCCGGGGCCCAGGCCUGCUGCCGCUGCUGGCAGGUGAGGGGCGCGGGCCGGGCGGGGCCGGCCGGGCGGGGACAGGGGCGCGGGCCGGGCCUGAUGACCUCAGAGCCCCUUCCCGCAGCGCUCGCCUGGUUCUCGAGGCCCGCUGCGGCAGAGGAGGAGGAGCAGCAGGGAGCCGACGGGGCCGCUGCCGAGGACGGGGCGGACGAGGCCGAGGCAGAGAUCAUCCAGCUGCUGAAGCGAGCCAAGUUGAGCAUUAUGAAAGAUGAGCCAGAAGAGGCUGAGUUAAUUUUGCAUGACGCUCUUCGUCUCGCCUAUCAGACUGAUAACAAGAAGGCCAUCACUUACACUUAUGAUUUGAUGGCCAACUUAGCAUUUAUACGGGGUCAGCUUGAAAAUGCUGAACAACUUUUUAAAGCAACAAUGAGUUACCUCCUUGGAGGGGGCAUGAAGCAGGAGGACAAUGCAAUAAUUGAAAUUUCCCUAAAGCUGGCCAGUAUCUAUGCUGCGCAGAACAGACAGGAAUUUGCUGUUGCUGGCUAUGAAUUCUGCAUUUCAACUCUAGAGGAAAAAAUUGAAAGAGAAAAGGAAUUAGCAGAAGACAUUAUGUCAGUAGAGACGGGGUUUCACCAUGUUAGCCAGGAUGGUCUCAAUCUCCUGACCUUGUGAUCCACCUGCCUCGGCCUCCCAAAGUGCUGUGAUUACAGUGGAAGAGAAAGCCAAUACCCACCUCCUCUUGGGCAUGUGCUUAGACGCCUGUGCUCGCUACCUUCUGUUCUCCAAGCAGCCGUCACAGGCACAAAGGAUGUAUGAAAAAGCUCUGCAGAUUUCUGAAGAAAUACAAGGAGAAAGACACCCACAGACCAUUGUGCUGAUGAGUGACCUGGCUACUACCCUGGAUGCACAGGGCCGCUUUGAUGAGGCCUAUAUUUAUAUGCAAAGGGCAUCAGAUCUGGCAAGACAGAUAAAUCAUCCUGAGCUACACAUGGUACUCAGUAAUCUAGCUGCAGUUUUGAUGCACAGAGAACGAUAUACACAAGCAAAAGAGAUCUACCAGGAAGCACUGAAGCAAGCAAAGCUGAAAAAAGAUGAAAUUUCUGUACAACACAUCAGGGAGGAGUUGGCUGAGCUGUCAAAGAAAAGUAGACCUUUGACUUAAAUUCUGUCAAGCUCUAAAUCCAUUUUUGUG
rnacentral:sRNA from 1 species